AUGGAUGAGCACCAAAACUCACUAGUGUACACCAAUAAUUUUGAACUUCAUGACUUCAUUGAUGAUCCAAACUUUGAUCAAUUUGUCGAUUUAAUUCGAGGUGAGAAUGAAGAUGAAAUAUGUAACUUUGGUUCUGACCUUAUCAAUGAUUGUUUCGUUGAUAAUAAUCAUCAUCAGCUUCUUCCAAUUCCUCCAAAUCCAUUAAUAUUUGAUCACAACAGCAACAACAAUAGUAAUAUUGUGAAUGUGUUUGAUCCAAGCUCUAGCACAAUUGGCUCCUUCUCUAGUUAUUCUAGGGAGGUUAAGGGAGAAGGAGAAAAUGAUGGAGAUGAUUCUUCGGCACCAACAAUCACAACGACUGGAAUUGAUGAUGGCAAACCUAGUGGUAAAACCGAUAGGUCUAAGACACUCAUUUCCGAAAGGAGAAGGAGAGGUCGGAUGAAGGAUAAGCUUUAUGCGUUGCGCUCUUUGGUUCCCAAUAUUACAAAAAUGGAUAAGGCCUCAAUAAUUGGGGAUGCAGUAUCAUAUGUGCAUGACCUUCAAACACAAUCUAGGAAGUUAAAGGCUGAGGUUGCAGGACUUGAAGCAUCCUUAUUAGUGUCUGAAAAUUAUGAAGGAUCAAUUAACAACACCAUUAAUGCUCAAAGCCAUCCCAUUUGCAAGAAAAUUAUCCAGGUGGACAUGUUCCAAGUGGAGGAAAGAGGAUAUUAUGCAAAAAUAUUGUGCAAUAGAGGAGAAGGAGUAGCUCCUUCAUUGUACAAGGCUAUUGAAUCUCUUGCAAAUUUCAAUAUUCAAAAUUCAAACUUGGCUACAGUUUGUGACAAUUUUCUACUUACAUUUACAUUGAAUGUAAAUGGUUGUGAACAAGAAAUGAACCUUCAAAAUUUGAAGCUAUGGGUGGCUGGUGCACUUUUGAACCAAGGCUUUGAAUUCAUGCCAUCCUUUUGAGCCAUUGCAUGAAGUAGUAUUCCACGGGAAGAUUGCUAGAAAAAAUAAAUUAAAGAACCCUGGUGGCUCAAAUCAUAAAGACAUUGUAGAGAAGAUGGCUUUUCCCGGUGUUUGUUGGGACCACCAGACCACGGUGGUUGGUAUCGACAAUAGAGGUAAGGACCAUCAGACAACCGCGGUUAGAAGGACCAUCGGUAAGUAGGACCAGUUCUCUAACUCGAAGUGAUAUACAUGAGGGUCAUUUAAGGCGGACAGUUGGUCAAAGGACCAACCUAGAAGUGGGGUGUGUACCUGCAACUAUGCAAGAACUUUGACUAUCAACUAAGUAAGUGCAUAAAGUGAGAGGUAUUAGUUAUAAUAGAGCAUACUUGAGCUUGAACCAUAAAAGGUAGGCUUUAUAGUUAAGAGGUAAUGAAUAAAAUGUCAAAUAAAUUUCAAAAUUUGUCAAAUACCUCACUGAAGUUUAGAAAUAAGUAAAUACCUUCCUGAAAUUGUAAAACGUCAAUCAAAUUGCCCCCUGCUCCGUUUACUCAGUCUAUUUUGAUGAGGAAAAGAUGGAUGAGACAAGAAUUGAUAAAGAGUAUGAUGUUGGUGAAUGAGGUUUCUUGUCUGGUUAUGAAUCUGAUGACUCAGAUUGGUCUAUUGGGUGGUUAGAACCUCUUGAUUCUAAUUUUGAAAGCAAUGAUAAUGAUGAUGAGGAUAAUUCUGGUAAUGAUAGUUUUGUUGUUUCGGUUCCUUGUUAUUCACCUGGUUGCAAGGAGGUUGAAGGUUCAAACAAUGUGCUUUUGAAGGCUCAAAAUAGACGGAGCAAACGAAGCAGUGGGCAAUUUGAUUGACGUUUUCCAAUUUCAAGGGGGUAUUUGCCUAUUUCAAAUUACAAGGGGGUAUUUGACAUUUUACUCAAGAGGUAACAUUCCUAGGCGAUAAAACAUUCUACUAGACAGUUGUCCCUGUAGACAGCAAACAAAUUGUCUAAGGUUCUUGAUCUGAUGGAUAUGAUGGGUCUGUUGAGACAAAAUCCUAUAUUGAUGUUUUAAGUUGGACUUAUUAAAGGAUCAUAACAGUGCAAAUAAGUCAUUUAGGGCAAAUAAUCAAUUUUGGUUUAUGGACUUACUCAUAUAAGCUUCUUUAAGGAAUAAUAACUUCACAUCAUGCAACAAGGCUCUAUGUUCUCCAAGAACAUCAUUAAAGAAGAUAAUCUAGACCAAUGAGAACUCAACAACAAGUGGCGAUAGCUUGUAAGGAAGCUCCACAUCUGAUCCAAGUACAAGGGUAUGACAAGGGUGGCUACAUUCUUCCAUAAAAAUGUACUCACAUCACUAUUCAUGUGUACUUUGAAGGACAAGUGAACAGUUGUUAUUCUAUGCCUUUGUUGAGCAUUUACAGUUGUUUGACAACUUGCAACAGCUCAAAAAUUCAUUGGACCUUAUCCACACCAUUUCAGAGAAUGGUCUCCAACAUCGUGGAGAAUUAUCUCCCAAGUUUUUGCACUUAGGUGUCAAUCUUAUUCAAAGGCAUUCAAAUCUUAUUUCCACACAUGGGAAAUACAUUUGCAACAGAUAUAUGCUCAGAAACAACUCAUUGACAGUUGGCUAAGGAAUAUUUCUGUCAACAAGUACAAUGUGACAGUCAGAGACUAUUAAAAGAAUGAUCUCCUGGAGCAUCUAAAGGACAAAAUCACAUAGACUGUUUUGUUUCUCUCUCACAACGGCUAUUUCUUCACUCAAAACAUAUAUGUCUGAUGUCCAAACAACAAGGGAGCAUCUCCAUCUAUAAAUAGCACGUUGAUUUGGUUGGAAGAACAAGAACUUGAAUCACAAAAGCAAUCUAAUACAUUCUAUCUCAAGCAAUCAAGCUCUUCUUUUCACUCUUACUCUAAAGCUCUCUAGAAAUCUAGGAUCAUAUUUCGAAGAGUACUUUGAGUGUAUAAUUUGUAAGCAUCAC